rfam:Bombyx mori DNA, contig: Bm_scaf45_contig24703, strain: p50T/Dazao, build 2, whole genome shotgun sequence.
UUAACUCAUAUUUGUAUGGAGUUGGAACGUUUGUCUACGCUAGGUGCGCUGUUCCAACUGCAUACAAAUUUGAGUUA